AAGGGGUGCAAUGAGAGGUCGGCUAGAUAGUUAUGUGCACCAUUUAUUUUUUUUCAAUGAAUAAAAGAAUGUUUAAGAGGCAGAAGGACUCUUCUGUGCCUCUUAACAACCUAAAGUCCAUGCUUUAAUCUAGUAGAAAAAUGAAGAGAUGCCUUCAUGCAGAAGGACUCCUCCCUUAGUGUAGAAAUAAAAUCAUUGAUGAAUUUCAUCGAUGUUUUCCGAAG
rnacentral:lncRNA from 1 species